rnacentral:tRNA from 1 species
GGGGUUGUGGCUCAGUGGUAUAGAGCACUUGCCUAGCAUGUGUGAGGCCCUGGGUUUGAUUCUCAGCACCA